AGUCAAGCAACUAAGCGCAUACGGUGGAUGCCUUGGCAGUCAGAGGCGAUGAAAGACGUGGAAGCCUGCGAUAAGGCUCGGGGAGCUGGCAAACAAGCGAUGAUCCGGGCAUCUCUGAAUGGGGAAACCCACCGACUUUCGGGUCGGUACCGUACAGUGAAUCCAUAGCUGUGCGGGGCGAACUCGGGGAACUGAAACAUCUAAGUACCCGAAGGAAAAGAAAUCAACCGAGAUUCCCUCAGUAGCGGCGAGCGAACGGGGACCAGCCCUUAAGCUGAACAACUGGUAGGAGAAGGCUCUGGAAAGUGCCGCCAUAGUGGGUGAUAGCCCCGUAUCCGAAACCUGAGUUCAGUGAAAUCGAGUAGGUCGAUGCACGAGAAACAUUGACUGAACAUGGGGGGACCAUCCUCCAAGGCUAAAUACUCCUGACUGACCGAUAGUGAACCAGUACCGUGAGGGAAAGGCGAAAAGAACCCCUGUGAGGGGAGUGAAAUAGACCCUGAAACCGUAUGCGUACAAGCAGUCGGAGCGGAUUUAUUCCGUGACGGCGUACCUUUUGUAUAAUGGGUCAGCGACUUAUGUUUAGUGGCGAGGUUAACCGUUUAGGGGAGCCGUAGGGAAACCGAGUCUGAAUAGGGCGAAUUAGUCGCUAGGCAUAGACCCGAAACCGGGCGAUCUAUCCAUGAGCAGGUUGAAGGUGCCGUAACAGGCACUGGAGGACCGAACCCACUGUCGUUGAAAAGCCAGGGGAUGACUUGUGGAUCGGAGUGAAAGGCUAAUCAAGCCCGGAGAUAGCUGGUUCUCCCCGAAAGCUAUUUAGGUAGCGCCUCGGACGAAUACCACAGGGGGUAGAGCACUGUUUCGGCUAGGGGGCCAUCUCGGCUUACCAACCCGAUGCAAACUCCGAAUACCUGUGAGUACUAUCCGGGAGACACACGGCGGGUGCUAACGUCCGUCGUGAAGAGGGAAACAACCCAGACCGCCAGCUAAGGUCCCAAAGUACCAGUUAAGUGGGAAACGAUGUGGGAAGGCUCAGACAGCUAGGAGGUUGGCUUAGAAGCAGCCAUCCUUUAAAGAAAGCGUAAUAGCUCACUAGUCGAGUCGGCCUGCGCGGAAGAUGUAACGGGGCUCAAACUGGUCACCGAAGCUGCGGCUGCAUACUUUGUAUGCGGGGUAGGGGAGCGUUCUGUAAGCCUGCGAAGGUGUGUUGAGAAGCAUGCUGGAGGUAUCAGAAGUGCGAAUGCUGACAUGAGUAACGAUAAUGGGAGUGAAAAACUCCCACGCCGGAAGACCAAGGUUUCCUGCGCAACGCUAAUCGGCGCAGGGUGAGUCGGCCCCUAAGGCGAGACCGAAAGGUGUAGUCGAUGGGAAACGGGUUAAUAUUCCCGUACCUUGGAUAGCUGCGAUGGAGAGACGGAGAAGGCUAGGUGAGCCGGGCGACGGUUGUCCCGGUUUAAGCAAGUAGGCAGUGGACUUAGGCAAAUCCGGGUCCACAAUGCCGAGAUGCGACGACGAUUGCCCACGGGCGAGAAGUCAUUGAUGCCAUGCUUCCAGGAAAAUCUUCUAAGCUUCAGGCUAUUCAAGACCGUACCCCAAACCGACACAGGUGGUCAGGUAGAGAAUACCAAGGCGCUUGAGAGAACUCGGGUAAAGGAACUAGGCAAAAUGGUGCCGUAACUUCGGGAGAAGGCACGCUGGUUGUAUGUGAAACCCCUGCGGGUGGAGCAGAAGCCAGUCGAAGAUACCAGGCCCCUGCGACUGUUUAUUAAAAACACAGCACUCUGCAAACACGAAAGUGGACGUAUAGGGUGUGACGCCUGCCCGGUGCCGGAAGGUUAAUUGAUGGGGUUAG
rfam:Marinobacter sp. T13-3 scaffold_1182, whole genome shotgun sequence.